CCUACGGGAGGCAGCAGUGGGGGAUAUUGCACAAUGGGGGAAACCCUGAUGCAGCGACGCCGCGUGGGUGAAGGAGCGCCUCGGCGCGUAAAGCCCUAUCAGCAGGGAAGAAGAUGACGGUACCUGAACAAGAAGCCCCGGCUAACUACGUGCCAGCAGCCGCGGUAAUACGUAGGGGGCAAGCGUUAUCCGGAUUUACUGGGUGUAAAGGGGGCGCAGACGGCAAUGCAAGCCAGGCGUUAAAGCCCGGGGCCCAACCCCGGGACUGCUCUUGGAACUGCAUGGCUAGAUUGCAGGAGGGGCAGGCGGAAUUCCGAGUGUAGCGGUGAAAUGCGUAGAUAUUAGGAGGAACACCGGUGGCGAAGGCGGCCUGCUGGACUGCAACUGACGUUGAGGCCCGAAGGCGUGGGGAGCAAACAGGAUUAGAUACCCGAGUAGUC
rnacentral:rRNA from 1 species